GCCUGUAGCUUAGUAUGGUAGAGCGUCCGGCUCAUAACCGGAUGGUCGUCGGUUCAAAUCCGGCCAGGCC
rnacentral:tRNA from 1 species